UCGAAAGUCGAUGAUAACAGAUGGUGGAUCUCCUCGGUUCAACUCUUGGUUUUUACUCGACAGAAUUGCUACAAUAAUGCUAGGAUCCACAGAUUGUGCGGCUCCAUUUGAUCCAGUUUCAAGACCUGUGAAGAGAGGAGGCCAAUGCAGCGAGAACUUCAAGAUCAGCAAAAUUACUGUAAUGAUCAGAUCAUAUGAAGGCAUCUCAAGCAUUUGUGGUUCCAUCCUGUUUCCAGUUGCAGCGACCUCAACAGCCCGUAAAAACUAGAAUCAGAAAGAUGGUGAAUUGUGUGUGAUAUCUGGACAGCAGCCCUGAAUUAAGCUCCACAUUCAAGACGAACAUGAAAAGGAAUGCCUGUCCUGGGGCUUCUAGAGAUUACGCAGCACCAUUGAUGUGAUCCAAGAACUGUAAAGAGAUGAUGCCAACCAUUGAAGACUUCGAGGACAACACAU
ensembl:processed_transcript